CUACGGGCUGCACCAGUGGGGAAUCUUGGACAAUGGGCGCAAGCCUGAUCCAGCCAUGCCGCGUGAGUGAAGAAGGCCUUAGGGUCGUAAAGCUCUUUCGCCAGAGAUGAUAAUGACAGUAUCUGGUAAAGAAACCCCGGCUAACUCCGUGCCAGCAGCCGCGGUAAUACGGAGGGGGUUAGCGUUGUUCGGAAUUACUGGGCGUAAAGCGCGCGUAGGCGGAUUAGUCAGUCAGAGGUGAAAUCCCAGGGCUCAACCCUGGAACUGCCUUUGAUACUGCUAGUCUUGAGUUCGAGAGAGGUGAGUGGAAUUCCGAGUGUAGAGGUGAAAUUCGUAGAUAUUCGGAGGAACACCAGUGGCGAAGGCGGCUCACUGGCUCGAUACUGACGCUGAGGUGCGAAGGUGUGGGGAGCAAACAGGAUUAGAUACCCUUGUAGUC
rnacentral:rRNA from 1 species